CGGUCCAGACUCCUACGGGAGGCAGCAGUGGGGAAUAUUGCACAAUGGGCGAAAGCCUGAUGCAGCGACGCCGCGUGAGGGAUGACGGCCUUCGGGUUGUAAACUCUCUUUCGAGUAGGGAAGAAGCGAGAGUGACGGUACCCCAAAAACCCGAGCUAACUACGUGCCAGCAGCCGCGGUAA
rnacentral:rRNA from 1 species